UAAAAUUAAUCCAGAAAUCCCCAGAAAAUUAAUCAAGAAAUCCAAAUCCAAAUCAAAACAAUCAAAAGCUCUAAAUCGUAAAUUCCUAAUUUAUAAAUUCUCAUUCGAACCCUAAUUCAGAGAAAGCUUCAGAGAGGAAAGAGAAAGAUAUGGGUCGAGCUUCGAAGAUUUGAGAGAGCUUUCGGCAGUAGCUCUUUGCUCUCUCUGCUUCUCAACACGAAGAGUGCUGCUCUCUGCCUCAAGAGUCAAAACCAAACUCAAGAGCUUUCGGCAGUAGCUCCUUCCUUUCUCUUCUCCUCUUUGCUUCUCAACAUGAAGAGUGAUGUUCUCUGCCCCAUGAGUGAUGCUCUCUGCCUCAAGUGCUGCUCUCUGCGCCUUCUGUUAGUGGGAGCCAAAAGGCUCCUGCUUUUGAGGUGGGAAGUCUGAACCGAAACCCAAAGCCAAUUUGUGCCUUUCCCAUUUUUUU
rnacentral:lncRNA from 1 species